UUGCUCAAUAUAUUCUUAAUAUAUAAUUAUUAACUUAUGAUUCCUUCACAUUUUAGAAAUGAUAGUUAUAAUAUUACUAUGUAUUACAAAUGCACCAGGCUAUCAUGUGUGGGUAAAGGGAAAAAACAAUAUCUUUCAUAUAUCCAAACAAUGCACUGGUAUAUUUUUUGUUAAUCUUAUAUAAAAUAAUCAUAUUAUACAAUAUCAUUGCAUAUUAUAACUCUUGCCUGCUUAGAAAGUUUAUCUAAAAUAUUUUCUCCAGCAUCAUUUGAGACCUUAACCAACUCAGAAUAUAUUACUAAUAUGCUAUCUUGUUAACCUGGAAAUUUUCUUCUUAGCAUCAAUUGAUAUAAUCCAUUCAGGAACUCCAAAUAAUCAAGCAUCACUUGAUAUAAUCCAUUCAGGAACUCCAACCAACCAAAGUAAAUUUAAAAUAUGCUAUCUUAUUAACCUGGAAAUUUUAAUCUAGCAUCACUUGAUAUAAUCCAUUCAGGAACUCCAACUAAUCAAGCAUCACUUGAUAUAAUCCAUUACUCCAACCAACCAAACAUCACGUGAUAUAAUCCAUUCAGGAACUCCAACCAACCAAAGACAAUUUAAAAUAUGCUAUCUUGUUAACCUGGAAAUUUUAAUCUUAGCAUCAUUUAUAAUCCAUUAACUCCAACCAAUCAAGCCUGAAGAUUAUUCAAUAAAUCAAUUAAUUUUUUCAAAGCAAAAUGCCCAAUAUAAAUUUAUAAAAUCUAAAUUUAAUAAAAAUCUACUAUUUUCUAAUAAUUAUUUAUAUUCUCAAAAUUGAGAAAACUAUUAUAUGCAUACAUAGAUAUUUAUUAAUUAUUAGGUUUUUAGCUAAAAAUUCACAUCACUCUUUAUCAAUAUUAUGAUCAUGCUGUCAAAAUUUUCAUUUUUUAAUGCUUUUUAUACC